rnacentral:tRNA from 1 species
GAGGUUAUAGCUCAGUGGCAGAGCAUGUGCUUGGUAUGCACAAGGUCCAGAGUUGAACCCCCAGUGCCUCCA